ensembl:lncRNA urokinase plasminogen activator surface receptor-like
CAUUAUGGUCUUUUCUAGAGAAUCUUACUUUUUCAUGAUAUGCCCAAAGAAGGGACAAUCUCAGAAUCAACAUUUUUGUCUCCAGAGAAAGUUCAGGCUUGAUUUGAGCUAAGACUCACUCGUUUGUCUUUCUGGCGAUGACUUCACGACUAAACAACAACAAAAUCAGUGUGGAAGAGUUUCAUCAAAAUCCAGGCAUACUGAGAUAUUGUUGUUGAGUCUUGACAAGAGAAUUAUGUAUACCUAAUGUUAGGGAUUGUAUUUCUUUACUUAUUACAUUUCAGUAUCUUCUUGCCAUGAAAAGUAGGACUCACGGUGGCUGAAUAUACAAAUACAAGUAAAAUAACAUUAUAAUCUAAAACUCAAACCAAAUGAUUGCAAUAAAAACAGUCCUGCCAGUGAGAAAGAUUUAACAACAGCAACAAAAAUGAGGGGGGGAAAAACUCUGGGAAGCUGAAUCUUGUUUGAAAAGCAAUUUGGAGAGUGGAAAAUUUUAAUUGUAAAAGGUUACUGAAUGCAGCCUGAGGGACAGGAAGGGGAGUGGCCUGCUCGUUAAGGCAGCAGCUCGUUAGGGGUUAUAACUUUGCAGUGAACAAAAGAAGACUGAAGAACAUCUCCAGCAUCUUGAAGUCCACUAUUUGUGCCAAAAAGAGAGAACAGAUUAACAAGCCUUAUAUUUGCUAAGCAGUGAAAAAUCUGUCGUAAACUCACCUCGGGCUGACACCCUCUCCUUAUAUCUCUGAAGAUCAAGGGUGGAGAAUUUUCCAAGAGGGAAGGAUUGUAUUUUCCACCAUAUCUUGAGCCUCUCUCAUCUUUGGAUACGGGAUUGUAGCUGUUCACUGAGCCCGCUCUUGGCUCUACGCAACUGAGUACAUUUUCUGACCAGUCAAUUAGCUGUUAAAAAGCACACCUUUAUUGUCAGGGGAAGAAACCAUUUUCCAAUCAAACAAAGAACAUGGGUGAAUGGACGAGAAGCUGUCAGACAAACAGGUUUCUGCUGGAGAGAGCUGCUUUCUUUUGCUUGCUGUUUGCUUCAGCCGAUGGCCUGCAAUGCUACCAGUGUGUGGGGAUGUUCCAUGAAUGUGUCCAGUCGGAGCAGCUGUGUGCACCCAAAGACCGUUCCUGCUUCUCAUCCACCAUCAAACUUUUCUAUUCAAACAAGUACUCAGGAGUGUUUAUGUUACCUGAUCUCGAAAUUGCUCAGUACGUGAUGAAGGGCUGUUCAGCAGAGAGAGCAUCCAACCGGACAUCUAAUGUAUACUCAGAAGAUGACCGGGAGGUUCAUCACACAUAUUAUUGUGAUUCAGACCUCUGCAAUACCCAAUUCACAGGUGCUCCUCACACCAACCGCCAGGAACCCAACGGCAUGGAAUGUUACAGCUGCUUUGAUCGUGGCACCGGAGAUUGCGGCCAAGGGAAUGCCACCCGGAUCAAGUGUUUGGGAGACAUGAACCAGUGCAUGGAUUUUACUGUGAUCGACGGUGCCUGGAAAAUGACCUACCGGACAUGUGCUCUGGAGACACUGUGCCAACGGCAAUAUGUGCUCCCAGACCUUUCGGGGAGACUGGAAAUCAGUUGCUGUUCGACUCCCUUGUGUAAUGACGGCCAGCCUGGGAUCAAAAGCAUCUGCAGCCACUUUUCAGAGCAAGGAACGAAGCAGAAACCUGAGAAUAGUUUGGAGUGUGCCAGCUGCUGUGAUUCAGGACAAGGUGAAUGUGACUCAGGAAACUGGACUCAUGUCAAAUGCGUUGGAGAACAGAACAUGUGUGUGAACGUCACAGAGGGAGGCCAAACCUUGUUGCGCAGCUGCAGUCUGGAGAAACUCUGUAAGGAGAAGCCGGAGGGCCUGGGCCUGGGCCGGAAUGCGACCAUCCAGUGCUGCUCAUCCUCAUUGUGCAACCGUGGGAUGCUGCCAGUUGGAGGCUCUCUGUGGCUCUAUGUGCUGCUUCUGCCUGCUGCCGCCCUGCGGAUGAAGCGGCUGCUCUGAUGCAUGGCCAAAGAGGUUCAGAGACUUUUGAGAAGAAAAGUAAAAAAAAAGGAGGACAGAAUGACUCAACCAGCAUUUCACGCACAAAUGUGCGCUAGCAACCAGUGCUGCAAAGAUCAUGUGAGACAGUGCUCUCCUCUGGGCGCAUGGCAUGUAACUUUGCCUCUGACAACAAUGUGGUUUAAAAGCUUGUGCUACACUGGUCAGGACUACUUAUCUGCUUAUUUGGUGACCCUCCUUGUCCAGUUUGUUAAAUAAGAAGUGUUGGGGAAGGUUAUCACCAGGUCAGUUUCCCGAUGAGGAAAAGACAACCACUGCAAAGAGCCAAGCCAGUUGUUAUGCUAUGUGCUGCCAUGUUGGAACCAAGGGACAGCGAUCUUAAUAGGGCCUUCUAGGUAAGUGAGAUAUUUAAGGGGUGGUUUCACCAGCUCCACUCUCUGUUGUGUUUCUAUGGCCAAAGGGGAUUCGAACCCUGUUCUCCAGAGUCCUCGCCCAUCACACUGGGUAUCUUCAAACAUGCAGCACGAGAUUGGAAAGGACAUCCCUCCCUCCCAAAGGCAUGACAUAGCAUUGUUUCACCUUGAUGCUGUUUCUUGCCAACCCACCUUAAAACGCUGGCUUUUCUUCUCUCGCGCUGCCUUGACUGGAAGCUACCAACCUGUUUCCUUUACUUAUAACAGCCACAGGUGUUUGUGCAGGAAACAGGAGGUGUGACACUAGUUUCAAUGACCGGGCCUGGCUACUCACCACCAAAGGUCAUCAUGGAAUUACUUCCAGUUCACAGGCACCACUAGGACCUUUUAAAAAAAGAGGGCAUAAUUUAUUUAACCCAACAGCAUGCUGACAACUUUUCCUUCCUCGUUAUUUAUUGGGGCUGCUAUUUCAACCAUCACCUUGAGGUUGUAGGCACUCUUCCAUACUACUGCUACAGCAAUGUUUUAUCUUUUAUUGUGUUUCAGUUGAAUUUUAAUUGUUGUAAGCCGCCCAGAGACCUUUGGGUAGAGGGGGCGCCAUAUAAGUUAAAUAAAUAAAUAAUAAAAUAUUCCUCUACA